GGCUCCCGGGAGACCCGGCGCUCGUCUCUGUAGGACACCCACCACACACCGACGAGAUCCUCCUCAUAGGUCAGCUUCUCCCCCCUGGCCGGCUCCUGCCCCCACCUGCAAGCUGCUGCCUGGCAGGACAGACAGGAGUCGCUCGGAACACAAGCUGGGUGUUAGCAGAGGGAGGAAAUCAUGCAAAGAGACAAGUGACAGCAGACAAAGGGGCUCCUGCUGGAGAAACCGAGGAUGAACCUGGAGCCCAAGGAACCACAGGCAGAGCCAGAGCAACAGGAACCUGUCUACACGUAGCCGUGCUUACAGACUUACAACAAGCCCCACGGGAAACAACCCAAACAGCUCCCAGGGCUGAAUGUGCGGACAAAAUGUCUCGCAUCCCUGCAAGGGAAGAUGAUUCUUUCGUAAACAGGAAUGAAGUUCCGAUGCCCGGAUGAGCUCGAACCAGUUAUGGAAGGUGAGGGAGGCCACGCCAGGACCACGUGUGGCACGAGUCCGUCGUUUGGGAUGUGCAGCGACAGCCCGUCUACAGAGACACGAAGCACAGUGGCGGCGGCCUGGAGGGGGCCCGGGGAUCUUCUGGGGCCUGGGGACGCCUGACACUGAUGUAUGGUGAUGCCCCCACCCCCGGUGGGGUCACUGGGGAUCAUGGAGACAUAGGCCUGAACCGGGGGUGAUGACAGGUGACAUGGGGCUCCAUCCCACUGGGUGAGGCCCUAUUAGCGGCCCUGCAGGAUCUCACUCCUCAUUCCAAGCUGAGGUGUGGCGGCUACUGGCAGUUCACUGACGUUCCUGAGAAGGUUCCAGAAAAUGAAUAAA